rnacentral:lncRNA from 1 species
GUACUCGCCUUAGGGCUUAUAUGCUAAGUGUACCUGCUUGUACGCCCAACGUACUCCUUCACUUAACCAACUUCCAUUUAUAACUCUUAAUUGACGAGGACAUCAAUGCAAAACUUAGAUCUUACUUGCUUGGAUUGAUUUAUCACGUAAAGUUUCCAACUUUAUGUUCAUGCAUGGCUUAAUGUAGCUCUUAAAGCUCAAAAGAACGGAAUAGAUGACUUAAUGCAUGCAUNAGGCAUACCCCCAGAACGAGAUAGAUAGUGAAGCAUGACUCAUCAUAUAGCGGACCAUGUCUAACAAGGUUCGAUUACGCCUUUCUUCCAUACCAUUUAAAUGUGGUNAAAGAACGGAAUAGAUGACUUAAUGCAUGCAUGAGACCAUAAACCCCAUAAAGUUUGCACCUUUAAGCAUAAUGAACCCUCCAAAUAUCCAGAUCUACAAGACUUAGCUUCUAAAAUCGACUCAACCCAUCAAGACAAACCAAAAGGGGACAAAAGAAGCAUAAAACCAAACUACGAAAGGAUCUAAGAUGGAGAAGACAAGGUAUGAACUUGAUACCUUAAAAGAAUUGAAAAAAGAGUGAUGAUUUUGGAUCUUUUAGCUUCACACUAAGCAAUGCACCUUCAAUCUUCUUCAAUCUCUUUAAAAUGAGCAAAAUAAGCACCAACUUCUCAUCAAGAGCCCAAAGACACA